AGGGGGGGGUGCUAUACAUGCAGUCGAACGAACUCUGGUAUUGAUUGGUGCUUGCAUCAUGAUUUACAUUUGAGUGAGUGGCGAACUGGUGAGUAACACGUGGGAAACCUGCCCAGAAGCGGGGGAUAACACCUGGAAACAGAUGCUAAUACCGCAUAACAACUUGGACCGCAUGGUCCGAGUUUGAAAGAUGGCUUCGGCUAUCACUUUUGGAUGGUCCCGCGGCGUAUUAGCUAGAUGGUGGGGUAACGGCUCACCAUGGCAAUGAUACGUAGCCGACCUGAGAGGGUAAUCGGCCACAUUGGGACUGAGACACGGCCCAAACUCCUACGGGAGGCAGCAGUAGGGAAUCUUCCACAAUGGACGAAAGUCUGAUGGAGCAACGCCGCGUGAGUGAAGAAGGGUUUCGGCUCGUAAAACUCUGUUGUUAAAGAAGAACAUAUCUGAGAGUAACUGUUCAGGUAUUGACGGUAUUUAACCAGAAAGCCACGGCUAACUACGUGCCAGCAGCCGCGGUAAUACGUAGGUGGCAAGCGUUGUCCGGAUUUAUUGGGCGUAAAGCGAGCGCAGGCGGUUUUUUAAGUCUGAUGUGAAAGCCUUCGGCUCAACCGAAGAAGUGCAUCGGAAACUGGGAAACUUGAGUGCAGAAGAGGACAGUGGAACUCCAUGUGUAGCGGUGAAAUGCGUAGAUAUAUGGAAGAACACCAGUGGCGAAAGCGGCUGUCUGGUCUGUAACUGACGCUGAGGCUCGAAAGUAUGGGUAGCAAACAGGAUUAGAUACCCUGGUAGUCCAUACCGUAAACGAUGAAUGCUAAGUGUUGGAGGGUUUCCGCCCUUCAGGGCUGCAGCUAAAGCAUUAAACCAUUCCGCCCGGGGGAAUACGGCCGCAAGGCUGAAAACUCAAAGGAAUUGACGGGGGCCCGCCAAAGCGGGGAAACGGGGGGUUUAUUCCAAACUUCCCCAAAAAACCUACCCGGUCUUGACAUAUUUGAAAUUUAAAAAAUUAAAAUUUCCUUUCGGG
rnacentral:rRNA from 1 species